ensembl:miRNA gga-mir-6690 gga-mir-6690
UGUCCCAAACUGGUUCAGUUGCUCCCUCAGAAGGGGAUGGCUUUGGCUCCGAGCAGGUCGGAGAUCAUACAGCUGCCUCUUUCUGCAGGUGCAAUGGUGGUUAUCCUUCU